GACGAACGCUGGCGGCGUGCUUAACACAUGCAAGUCGAACGGAAAGGCCCUUUUGGGGGUACUCGCGUGGCGAACGGGUGAGUACCACGGGGUUAACCACCCCUUGAUUACGGGAUACGUUCCGGAAACUGGGGCUAAUACAGGAUAGCUAAUCUCGCAUCAUGUUGGGGGUUGCAAGAUAUCGGCGGUUUUGGUUGGACUCGCGGCUUACCAGCUUGUUGGUGGGUUAGUUACUUACCAAGGCUGUGACGGGCAGCCGGCCUGAGAGGGCGACCGGCCACAUUGGGACUGAGAUAGGGCCCAGACUGAUACGGGAGGCAGCAGUGAGGGAUAUUGCACAAUGGGCGGAAGCCUGGUGCAGCAACGCCGCGUGCGGGAUGACGGCCGUCGGGUUGGAAACCGCUUUCAACAGGGAAGAAGCUUUUGUGACGGUACCUGCAGAAGAAGCACCGGCUAACUACGUG
rnacentral:rRNA from 1 species